rnacentral:lncRNA from 1 species
CGAAGAUUUGAUCACGCUUGUCUACAUAGUUCCGGAUAUUCUUGGACCAUCGUUCACAAGUUUUUCUGUUUACGCUCCUGGCGUUUCAUUCAGCGGUCACUUCAGGUAGAACAAUUUGAUUGAAAGCUCUAACCCUGCUGCCAGAAGGUGGAACUACUGUACCUUUGCAGAAACUCUACAUGAAGUUUAUCCACGAAUGGUAUGGAAAGAAAAGGAACUUCAGCAGCUUGGAUGGAUUGGGUUCAUGCGUUCAGUCAGCAGCUCAAGAAAAACCCGGAAAUUCCGAAUUAAACCACGUUUUGCACUGACCUCUAACACUUCUG